rnacentral:rRNA from 1 species
GUGUCAGCAGGCCGCGGUAAUACGUAGGUGGCAAGCGUUAUCCGGAAUUAUUGGGCGUAAAGCGCGCGUAGGCGGUUUCUUAAGUCUGAUGUGAAAGCCCCCGGCUCAACCGGGGAGGGUCAUUGGAAACUGGGGAACUUGAGUGCAGAAGAGGAGAGUGGAAUUCCAUGUGUAGCGGUGAAAUGCGCAGAGAUAUGGAGGAACACCAGUGGCGAAGGCGGCUCUCUGGUCUGUAACUGACGCUGAUGUGCGAAAGCGUGGGGAUCAAACAGGAUUAGAAACCCGGGUAGUCC